GAUGAACGCUAGCUACAGGCUUAACACAUGCAAGUCGAGGGGAAACGACAUCGAAAGCUUGCUUUUGAUGGGCGUCGACCGGCGCACGGGUGAGUAACGCGUAUCCAACCUGCCCACCACUUGGGGAUAACCUUGCGAAAGUAAGACUAAUACCCAAUGAUAUCUCUAGAAGACAUCUGAAAGAGAUUAAAGAUUUAUCGGUGAUGGAUGGGGAUGCGUCUGAUUAGCUUGUUGGCGGGGUAACGGCCCACCAAGGCUACGAUCAGUAGGGGUUCUGAGAGGAAGGUCCCCCACAUUGGAACUGAGACACGGUCCAAACUCCUACGGGAGGCAGCAGUGAGGAAUAUUGGUCAAUGGACGGGAGUCUGAACCAGCCAGGUAGCGUGCAGGAUGACGGCCCUAUGGGUUGUAAACUGCUUUUAUAAGGGAAUAAAGUGAGCCUCGUGAGGCUUUUUGCAUGUACCUUAUGAAUAAGGACCGGCUAAUUCCGUGCCAGCCGCCGCUGUAA
rnacentral:rRNA from 1 species